rnacentral:misc_RNA from 1 species
GAUGAAGAACGUAGCGAAAUGCGAUAAGUAAUGUGAAUUGCAGAAUUCAGUGAACCAUCGAAUCUUUGAACGCACAUUGCGCCCGGUAGUAAUCUGCCGGGCAUGCCUGUCCGAGCGUCAUUUCUCCCCUCGAGCGCGGCUUCACGGCCUGUCGCUCGGAGUUGGGGCGCUACGGUGGAGCCCCGCGCUCCCCCCGUAGGCCCCGAAAUGUAGUGGCGGUCCCGCCGCGGCGCCCCCUGCGUAGUAGUCUUACAACUCGCAUCGGGACCCGGCGGAGGCCAGCCGUCAAACCCCCCAACUUCAAUAGUUUGACCUCGGAUCAGGUAGGGUUACCCGCUGAACUUAAGCAUAUCAAUAAGCGGAGGA